UUUAGAGAUGGAUUCGUGCUCGAAAGAGAAUCUGAACACAGGUGCUGCAUGGCUGUCGUCAGCUCGUGUCGUGAGAUGUUGGGUUAAGUCCCGCAACGAGCGCAACCCUUGUCUUCUGUUGCCAUCAGGUCAAGCUGGGCACUCUGAAGAGACUGCCGGUGACAAACCGGAGGAAGGUGGGGAUGACGUCAAGUCAGCAUGGCCUUUAUGUCUGGGGCCACACACGUGCUACAAUGGCCGGUACAAACCGUCGCAAACUCGCAAGGGUGAGCUAAUCGGAGAAAGCCGGUCUCAGUUCGGAUUGUCGGCUGCAACUCGCCGGCAUGAAGUUGGAAUCGCUAGUAAUCGCGGAUCAGCACGCCGCGGUGAAUACGUUCCCGGGCCUUGUACACACCGCCCGUCACAUCACGAAAGUCGGUUGCACUAGAAGUCGGUGGGCUAACCCGCAAGGGAGGCAGCCGCCUAAAGUGUGAUCGGUAAUUGGGGUGAAGUCGUAACAAGGUAGCCGU
rnacentral:rRNA from 1 species